GUUGUAGGUGAGGCCAUCGGCGCUGGCGAAGAGCUGCUGCGCGGUGAGGCCGGCCUCGGACACGUAGCGGGUGCUGCCGCUGAUCAGGUUCAAGGAGUACAUGUGCAAGUUUUCAAGUUUUUUACCUGGUUAAUCACAAACAUCUAUAACUACCAAACACAGCUUCUGAACAGCAUUGAGUGUUUGUCAUUCUACCCUGAAAUAAUGUGAUUACAACAGAAGCAAGGCUCAACACCACAUGGAAGCUGCCGAUGCUUGGGGCUUCCACCCUCUGAAGCAACAGCCUGAGCUGUACCUUGGCCCCUUUUAGUCAAGGCUGGAGCAGCUGGGAUGAAGGAGAAAGAUGCCACACUCAAUUUAGGAAGAUUUUGAAGCCCUGUGCUCUGGGACUGGUUACAUUGAUAGACUGGGACUGUAGGAUUUCGAGAAGAAGACCUCACCCAUAAAGUGUCAAUCUCAUCAUGUCAUACCAAGUGUAUAUAAUAUUAUCAGCAUGACCUAUCACUCUUGAUAUUGACCUGGAUCACUUGGCUGAGUCCUAGAAUCUGGAAUUUCCCCCAAGAAGCCCCGGGUCCUUUUAUUGGAGAAUAAUAUUAGAAAACAAGAUCGAGGCACCAGAUUUCUUCCAGAGCCAGUGUCACCAAAGUAUAUACUUAGAUGACAAACCAGGGGUUCCUGCCACAGUUUUGCCACUGUGCCUGCUCCUCAGCCACAUCAUUCCAUGUAGCCAUUUUAGCCAGGGCAUCAUUGACCAAGGUCUGACAAUUAUGAGAAGAAUAGAAGAUCCUGUGAAGCCAUUAUUAGCUCUUGACUCAAUGGCAACAGCCCUUUUUUCCAUUUGAACUAACGCAGUUGUAAAACCUUGGGCAAGUAGUUCAAUGUGCCUGGACCUCAGUUUCCCUCAACUAUGCAAUGCAAUUAAUAAAUCCUACCUCUCAAAA
rnacentral:lncRNA from 1 species